GCCCCCGUAGCUCAGCGGAUAGAGCAGGAGACUUCUAAUCUCCAGGUCGCAGGUUCGAGUCCUGCCGGGGGCA
rnacentral:tRNA from 1 species